rnacentral:rRNA from 1 species
AACGCUGGCGGCAGGCCUAACACAUGCAAGUCGAACGGUAACAUUUCUAGCUUGCUAGAAGAUGACGAGUGGCGGACGGGUGAGUAAUACUUAGGAAUAUGCCUUUGUGUGGGGGAUAACUAUUGGAAACGAUAGCUAAUACCGCAUAACGUCUUCGGACCAAAGGGGGCUUCGGCUCCCGCGCAAAGAGUAGCCUAAGCGAGAUUAGCUUGUUGGUGAGGUAAAGGCUCACCAAGGCGACGAUCUCUAGCUGUUCUGAGAGGAAGAUCAGCCACACUGGAACUGAGACACGGUCCAGACUCCUACGGGAGGCAGCAGUG